rnacentral:rRNA from 1 species
ACGGGUGAGUAACACGUGGAUUAUCUGCCUCUUGGUUCGGAAUAACCCCGGGAAACUGGGGCUAAUACCGAAUGGUUCCUACGGGAUAAAGAUUUAUCGCCAAGAGAUGAGUCCGCGUCCGAUUAGCUAGUUGGUGGGGUAACGGCCUACCAAGGCGACGAUCGGUAGCUGGUCUGAGAGGACGAUCAGCCACACUGGGACUGAGACACGGCCCAGACUCCUACGGGAGGCAGCAGUGGGGAAUAUUGGACAAUGGGGGCAACCCUGAUCCAGCCAUGCCGCGUGAGUGAUGAAGGCCUUCGGGUUGUAAAGCUCUUUUGGCGGGAACGAUGAUGACGGUACCCGCAGAAUAAGCCCCGGCUAACUUCGUGCCAGCAGCCGCGGUAAGACGAAGGGGGCUAGCGUUGUUCGGAAUUACUGGGCGUAAAGCGCGUGUAGGCGGUUGUUCAAGUCGGGUGUGAAAGCCUUGAGCUCAACUCAAGAAAUGCACUCGAUACUGGAUGACUUGAGGACCGGAGAGGAUAGUGGAAUUCCCAGUGUAGUGGUGAAAUACGUAGA